rnacentral:rRNA from 1 species
GAGAAAUCCUGUCUGAACAUGGGGGGACCAUCCUCCAAGGCUAAAUACUCGUAAUCGACCGAUAGUGAACCAGUACCGUGAGGGAAAGGCGAAAAGAACCCCGGGAGGGGAGUGAAAUAGAUCCUGAAACCGUGUGCAUACAAACAGUCGGAGCGGACUUGUUCCGUGACGGCGUACCUUUUGUAUAAUGGGUCAGCGACUUACUUUCAGUGGCG